ACUCAUACCUUGUAGGGGAAAUACAGUACCAUGUUGUAAAAAUGGUUUUCCCAGGGAGUGGCUUAUCCAUUGCACUUUGGGUGUGCUGUGAUUUCCCCAAAUGUGGGGAACUCAACUACAUAAUUUGUGUUUAUGGGGCCAUUAUGUUUGUGAUUUCUCUGU
rnacentral:snRNA from 1 species